rnacentral:tRNA from 1 species
GUGGGCGUAGCUCAGGGGUAGAGCACAACCUUGCCAAGGUUGGGGUCGAGGGUUCGAAUCCCUUCGCCCGCUCCA